rnacentral:rRNA from 1 species
UACGAAGGGGGCUAGCGUUGUUCGGAAUUACUGGGCGUAAAGGGCGCGCAGGCGGCCGCUCAAGUCAGGUGUGAAAGCCCCGGGCUCAACCUGGGAACUGCACUUGAUACUGACUGGCUAGAGUUCGGGAGAGGAGAGUGGAAUUCCCAGUGUAGAGGUGAAAUUCGUAGAUAUUGGGAAGAACACCGGUGGCGAAGGCGGCUCUCUGGACCGAUACUGACGCUGAGGAGCGAAAGCGUGGGGAGCGAACAGG